rnacentral:lncRNA from 1 species
CGAGCUGCCGAGUUUACUCGCAAAUGGAUCACCAGCAACAUUGUAUACUGUCCAACUAUUAUAAUUAUUCUAGCAAGCUGUUGUAUAUAAUAGGUGUACUGCAAGCGAUUAAAAACAAUUUGGCUUGGCAAGCUGAGGUGACGCAUGGUGGAAAAAAUCGGAAAAGCUCUCCGUAGACUCUCACCGAUAAGCAGCCUAAUAAACAUAUGAUCCCGCACCAAUAUGAGGUGACAUAUCUUGAACAAUUCAUCGGCAAACUGCGUUCUACCUCUAACUGAAACUAAACCAACCAGGUCAAAAAAAGCAGUUAUAGCUAUAUCCAUUGACCCAUCGCCAUGUUCGAAAGUUGCCAUCACAUUUUAGCGACGUGUCUGCACUUCGAUGAGUAGCCGCCGCGUUGCUGCAGCGAUCUCAUGUGCGCUCAACGCUUUCACUAGCAGUUGUUGUUGGCAGACAGCUUUCUCUGUCAAUCGUGGUAUAGUCCCCUGGAUCCAGAAAGCAACACGAGCCCAAUGCAAGGAGAAGUUAUGACAUGAAGGAUUGACAAUCGCUGGGUAUGACAUCUAUCAGACGCUGACAAACGUAUGGGAAACGGAGCACUGUGCCCCUGUGGCCAAAUUGAGCACCGUGAACAAUUUGUCUUUCCAUUCUAGUCCGCCCGCACUGCUUCAGCUGUCUUCGAUAAACACUGUCAUGGACAACUGAUUCCGACAGAUUACUGUUGCAGAUGAAAGCACUUGUCUUAGAGACAAGGUCGCAAGAGUAGCACAGACAGCGGCACGGAAAACAUCCGAACUUACCCCAUGGCCUCUCCGGCACUUUUUGAACUAUAGGUCUACGACAACUACCCGAUAGCCGGCGUCCAGACCAUUUCGACCCGUACGCCUCCGAUGUAUAACAGAACCCAGACACCGGCUCGAGCCGUACCAAAUGGAAGAGUCCUCAUACUUUAUGUAAAACGCAGCCCCUGGAUGGGCCUUACGAAAAUCCUCAACUACAACCUGACCGCGACGAUACAAUUGCCGACUCGGAGGUAGAGCACGAGGUGAACAAUAAUUUAUUAGCCUAUUCAGAUGCAAAACUAAUCCUUAUCCAGCUACAAACUGAUUUAGAUUUCUACAGCCGUUUGCUGGUUGCUAUUCAACGGCCCUCUGAUGAAGCAGGAACCAAAAUACUUUCUGUCGACCAGUGACAACUCAGCUUAACGAGAUAAGUGUGCCGUCACUACAAAUUCAUAUUGGUUAAAAGCGAGAAAAUAUUUCUUGCUACAUUGAAGGUAACGUAAAAUUAAAUGACAUGAAUCUACCCUAGAAGCUUGACGCGCUGAACAGAACUGCCGGCAAGGAGUUUCUGGCUGCCCGCGAACAAUACAAAAUGCUUUUUUAAAUGACGUGGAUUGAUCAACAGACAGCAGCAUCUUCCUGAGUGUACGUACGAACUUUCUUUGAUUGUACAAAAAACCCUGUAAUACCAAAUAAGUUUACUAACGUCGGUACAUGACGACGUGUGGUCAGUUCUUUACCAUCGACGCUAUCGAAGCCCGACUGCACAUUAUCAAUCGUUAUUAAUUGCGCACAGUCAUUAAAGUACUAGAGAUUGUACCCCGACGAGCUAUUUUUUACCUCAUCACAGCUAAAUAGAGCGUUCGUAACGCACGUAAAGCCUGCACAUUAUUAAUAUGGAACGACGACUACCAGGCGAGGACGGCCACAUAUUGAAUAUGCGAUUAGGCCACGAAAUAGGAAUUAUUGUUCAGAAUUGAUGCAGCUCAUCUAUAACAACCAGGUAAGUUAUCCUUCGCUAGCAAGGUAAUUUACACCUAACCUACAGGCAAUCGGAUUCCAUGCCAUUCACCAAAUCACACCGAUCCUACAACAGUACUGAGUACGUAUUCCUGUUUUCGUCUGCUGACAACGGCUGGCAUCAUCAGCCAUGGACAACUUACAGCAGAAAGCCCAUUGCGCUACGCGUAGCACAUCACAAAUAGGGCCGGUACAUUUAAUCAUCUGUACGGGGCAGAGCGCCUGUGCCAACAAAAUCUUGUCAACAUGGCGGUGAAAAUUAAGUUAGAAGACCCAUACUAUAUUCAAUGCAAUCAACAGCUUUUUGAAGCAACGACAUAUGAUAAAUCUAAUUACGCAAGCGACAAACUUUACGGCCUAGUCCUAGUGUCAAAACAGUGUAUCCACUUCUAAAUGUUUGAAGGGGGCCUGCAAUCCGCGGCGGGACUCAGGCAGGACGUAAUGAUAUGCAUACGUACCUCAAGUAAUGCGUCGUUAUUUCUAUACAUGACGUAACGCACAAUGGCCACAUAUCUUCCGUCAACUUUCCAAGGCCUAACGGCCUGAAAAUUCGUCGAACUGAGUCGAGAUGGCGUUUUAGUCAAAAAACCUCUUCAUGCACCAUCAUAUGCGAAAAUUUGGCGAUGUCAUCGCCUAUCCAAAAUGUGUUUCAGUUUUUCUUUUUUUUUUUUUGUUCAGUUUCUUCACAGGUUAGUACUGAAACACAUGGUUCACAGCCCAUUUUACUCAGUAGAAUUUUCACGCAUGAUGAACGGUGCUAAUUUUUGAACUUUCCAUUUCAUAACCAUGAACCUUCAUGUUGAGCGAUGUGAGCUACACUUACUCCAGGAGCAGCCAGCGUUUCUUUCCAAAGACACAGCAUUUUCCUCCGGGAUUUUCAAAAAACUACCAAGCGCACUGUGUUUAUGCUACCUGGCCAUGCUCUUAUCCGUAUCUACACAGUUAUCUUUCGCGAGAACGUACUCUAUUGCCUGUGUAUUCGGCUCAACUAUGUGCAUUGGCCUACAUCGUUUCACGCAUCGAAAGCAAUCGAUGUGUGUCAUACUGCCAUAUUUAAAAAAUGCCGUCAUACACAAGAGGUUUCUCCUUGGCGACGAACAUUGGGACCAGAAAAUGGCAGGAGACGACACCAUAUAGGUGCCAUGGGCAUUUCAGGAUCUAUUUAUCGUCACGUUGAUGACGAAUCAAAGAGUUAACCCGCUGCGCUUGCAAUGGCUGAAGGAUUCCCGCAUAAUACAUGCAUGUCGACGUGCAGCAUGACGCUUCCGAUUGCUGACACUCACUAUGAUAACGCGCUGACGUACUAUCAGGGUAUACUAACGAAGACUUUUUACUACUUUAAUCUUCUCCACAACAAUGUACAGAGGUCAACAUGAAUGCCAGGAUAAUUACAGGACCUCGAUAUGAACUUGAUAAACAGCACGAAAUCACACUUACACGAACGACUUUUAAUUGACGUUCAUGGAGUAGUCUUCAGUGACGCCUGCACGUGUCUAGGAACAAACCUAGGCAAAAUGCUCUUCAUUGGCGCACCUAAGGCAUAGGCAAAACCUUCCUUGCUAAUUUAGUUCUUAAAAAAAGCACGCUGACGGGAAAGCGGCGCUCGCAGGGGCCUUUUUUUGGAAAUCGCUGCUGCCUUGAUGUCUUUCAUCUUCACUGCGCACUCCCACUAUAAGAUUCCCGUAGAGGUCAUUUACUCGCUGAUCUUCUUUAGCUAGUAAUAUAUAAGACGGGUGUCUCAUGAUUACAUGCGAAGCUUUGGAAGCCGAUACCAAUUCCUUCGUGCCAUACGCAGCUGAAGGACUAUUUAGUGAAAUCUUAGCAGUGUGCUGCAGAGUGUCUUGUCAGCUCCUACCUACCAUUAUGCAAACCGCCGGUACCAACAUUGGAAAUGUUUGCAUCAAGUACUCGCGUCUGUGGAGGCGCCAAAUUGACCACCAACGUGCACCUCACCACAGUUGACGCCGACCACCUUCGGUGAGGAUAAUUUGUUCCUCUGAAAUGGCACAAAGAUCGUCGUGCAUGCGUUCUAUUCACAUGUAAUUGCCGCCCCAAUAACCACGAGCCAGUUUAAACAUGAUAUCGUGUUGCUUUCUCUAGUUACUCUUAUUCUUUGCCAAAACGUUGACGUACAAACAAAUUUCCGAAUUUUGCUUCGCAAUGACCCACACACAAGAUACAAGGCCGAGCCAUGGAUAACUCAGUUCCCUAAAAAUCCUCUGUAUGUUCUGAUUUAUCUACCUUUAUGCUAAUAAAACUUUGCAUUUAUUUGUCGAUUUGUCCGACGCAAAUAAACCCUUCAAAACAGCCGUAUUAGGUUGAAUUUUGGUGAAUCGCUAGAAUUUCGUAUUGGAAACUGCUGCGCGUAAAAUAGAGUCGAUCAGAUGAAUGCUUUUUAUCCGGGGAGAGUUUCUUCUGGGAAUA